GUUUUUGAUAUUAAAACUGUAAGGCUUGAUAGCGACUUGAGUUCUGGCUGGCCGUUUUCUCGUUUCUCUCCAUACGAUUCCCCAUUGGCUACUCUGCUUCUCAUCAAACCAGCCAUCUUAACACAGGUUACUUAAAUAUAUUCUCAUUUUUGCUAGAAGUUUACGAGUUCAAUUCUAAUGGAGUCAAAGCCUCCUCAAAAUCCCCCUAGGAAGCAUAAAUUUGUGCCUAAAGCACCCCCACGCCGGCCACCAAAGCCUGAAGUUAAAAGCGAGAAGGCUGAGGAUGUUGAUGCUGCUCAGGCAAUGAAUUUGAUGAAACAAUUCCAGGAAAGGUCCAUGAAGACAACGCCUAAAGUUGAAAAGAAAGUGCAUGCUUCUCAAAUUGCAUUUGGUUUUGGAGCUGCAUCUACUGGCUUGAAAUCAUGUGGUAUCCCCAAAAGGGGGACUGCAAGUAACCAAAAUCAGGGUUCAGCUUCCAAUGGUGAUGCUUAUUCUUCAGGACUUAGAGAUAAAGAAUAUGUGGAACCAUGGGAUUGUUACAGUUAUUAUCCUGUUACUCUUCCUUUGAGGAGGCCAUAUGCUGGAAAUCCAGCAAUUCUUGAUGCGGAGGAAUUUGGGGAGGCUUCCGAAACUGUAACUUAUGAUGAAAGUUCUAUAAAUCCGGCAGCUGAUCUUGGUUUAAUGGAGGAAAAAAUGGGGGCAAGUAUGUUCUUUCUUCAGUUACCACCGACCGUACCCAUGAUAAAGAGAUCAGCUACAGCAGAUGGCCUUGAUGUCAAGGAAAGCUCAAGGUCUUCAGUAGAGAAGACCUGUAAAGUAGAAGAUUUACCAGCUGGCCAAAUGGGUAAAAUGCUAGUAUACAGGAGUGGCGCAGUUAAGCUCAAGCUUGGUGAAACCCUUUAUGAUGUCUCCCCAGGUGUGGAUUGCGUAUUUGCCCAGGAUGUUGUAGCAAUUAAUACAGCAGAGAAGCAUUGCUGUGUUGUUGCAGAGAUCAACAAGCAUGCUAUAAUAACCCCUGAUGUGGAUUCCAUCAUCAAUAGUGUGGCUCAUUGUGACAGUAAUAUUGGUUCCUAUAUAUAGAUGAAACUGGUAAAUCUAUAAUUUUGUUCCCAGAAAGAAAGGUAUAAGAGUUUUGUAUUCAUUUAUUUUAACAUUCCUUCAUGAAAAACAAAUAAAGUGAGGGGAAUAAAAAGGAUGAAGGAUUGCGGUUUGGAGCUGGACUCUUUGAAUGAAAAAUGAAGGAAAUGUGAAUUUGUAUUCUUUUUCAUCUCUGUUGUGCUUAGCAUGUUUUUCUUCUAGUGAUAACUCCAAUUCAAUGGUCAUAUUCAAUUAAACUUAUUGCAACCAUCAUAGUAUGUAACUGAGAAUCAUAAUGUGAUUUGAUGAUCCAGAUUCUAG
rnacentral:misc_RNA from 1 species